rnacentral:rRNA from 1 species
GACGAACGCUGGCGGCGUGCCUAAUACAUGCAAGUUGAGCGCUGAAGCUUGGUACUUGUACUAACUGGAUGAGCAGCGAACGGGUGAGUAACGCGUGGGGAAUCUGCCUUUGAGCGGGGGACAACAUUUGGAAACGAAUGCUAAUACCGCAUAAAAACUUUAAACACAAGUUUUAAGUUUGAAAGAUGCACUUGCAUUCCUUAAAGAUGAUCUCGCGUUGUAUUAGCUAGUUGGUGAGGUAAAGGCUCACCAAGGCGAGGAUACAUAGCCGACCUGAGAGGGUGAGUGGCCACAGUGGGAAUGAGACACGGCCCAAACUCCUUCGGGAGGCAGCAAGAGGGAAACUUCGGGAAUGGACGGAAGGCUGACCGAGGAACGCCGCGUGAGGGAAGAAGGUUUUCGGGUCGUAAAACUCUGUUGGUAGGGAAGAACGUUAGUUAGAGUGGAAAGCUCAUCAAGUGACGGUAACUACUCAGAAAGGGACGGCUAACUACGUG